AUUCUAGUAGCUUAGUGGUUGGAGUAUCGACCUCGACUCUAAGGUCGCGGGUUCAAAUCCUGCCAAUGACA